CGGGUUGUUGCUGGCCCCCAAACCGGGCACGUGCACGCCCUGUUUACGCAUCCACUCACACCUGUGCACCCUCUGUAGUUCUGUGGACCGGGAGACGUCGUCUUCCUUCCGUGGCUCUACGUCUUUACACACAUGCCGUAGCGAAGUCUCAUGGAAUGUUUUUCGCGUUUAACGCAAUACAAUACAACUUUCAGCAACGGAUCUCUUGGCUCUCGCAUCGAUGAAGAACGCAGCGAAAUGCGAUAAGUAAUGUGAAUUGCAGAAUUCAGUGAAUCAUCGAAUCUUUGAACGCACCUUGCGCCCCUUGGUUAUUCCUCGGGGCAUGCCUGUUUGAGUAUCAUGAACACCUCAACUCUCGUGGUCUUCCAUGAUGAGCUUGGACUUUGGGGGUUUGCUGGCCCUGUGGCCGGCUCCUCUCAAACGAAUCAGCUUGCCAGUGUUUGGCGGCGUCACGGGUGUGAUAACCAUCUACGCUUGCGAUCGCCUGCCAGAUAACCCUCAGCGAUGAAGGUUCAUUGGGGCUCACAAAAGUCUCUCCACGGCGAGGACGAAUUUUGAAUGUUCGAUCUCAAAUCAGGUAGGACUACCCGCUGAACUUAAGCAUAUCAAUAAGCGGAGGAAAAGAAACUAACAAGGAUUCCCCUAGUAACUGCGAGUGAAGCGGGAAGAGCUCAAAUUUAAAAUCUGGCGUGCCUCCGGUCGUCCGAAUUGUAGUCUGGAGAAGCGUUUUCCGUGCUGGACCGUGUAC
rnacentral:rRNA from 1 species